GAACCGUCCUAACGUUGUUCGGAUUCACUGGGCUUAAAGGGCGCGUAGGCGGGUGAGCAAGUCCGGGGUGAAAUCUUUCGGCUCAACCGGAAAACUGCCUUGGAUACUGCUCAUCUGGAGGGAGGUAGGGGUGUGCGGAACUUCCGGUGGAGCGGUGAAAUGCGUUGAUAUCGGAAGGAACGCCGGUGGCGAAAGCGGCGCACUGGACCUCUUCUGACGCUGAGGCGCGAAAGCCAGGGGAGCGAACGGGAUUAGAUACCCCGGUAGUCCUGGCCCUAAACGAUGGGUACUAGGUAGUGGACUUAACAUGGGUUCACUGCCGAAGCAAAAGUGAUAAGUACCCCGCCUGGGGAGUAUGGUCGCAAGGCUGAA
rnacentral:rRNA from 1 species